ensembl:lncRNA
AUGAGUGCAUCUUUUAGAAGCUGUCCUGAGCAGUCCUGGUCUGCCAUUUCUCUUCUGAAUGAGUUGCACAAAUUUUGUCAACAAGAACAUGAUGCACUUACAGUCCUGGUUGAGAGGCUCCAUGGGGAGAGCCUGAAACUGUUGUGUCUGUACGUCAGGUUGGCAACUGUUAGAGCUCAGAGAGAGAAAAUGUCCUAUACGGCUCUUCUGGCUGCUCGCCAGUCCUGGGAGACAUGGCCACAUGUUAACGGUCCAUGUAGAGCAGAGCAGGCCUCCUUGUGGCUACAUGGAAAAGCACAAGAGAAAGAGUAUGACUUUGAGACAAUAGAGCAGCAGUCAGUGCUGCAGCUGCUGGUGCUGACUCAGGAGCAGGAGAGGAAGCAACUUAUCACAUUAAUACACGGGAUCUCAAUAAAGGAUUUGCAGGCACCAGCAUGCACAGUGCCUCCAAAAUAUGACAAUCAUCAUCAAGUUUCUUUGAGGAAUGGCUGUAUUAAAAGGCUGCAUCAAAUUCAUGCUUGGUUGCAGGCACACAGUGGUACUCAGAGCCCUCUACAGCAAACAAACCCUGAACCACAACCAAUGGCCCAGCCCAAAGUGCAGGCCUACAGAGAAUGGUCCCCACUUCUCUUAGAAGACUGCGCCCUGCUUCUUCUAACCCAUCUAACAGAACUUCAGGAGGUCCAAGCUUCUGCUUUACUGCAAGCGAUGAUGGAUGAGAAUGCACAGCUUCUCCAGGCUUUGCGGGAUAAAUAUAAAUCUGAAUUUCAAGCUCAGUGCUUUAGCAACCUGCUCCACCUCCUGAUCUCAGAUUCCCCCCUUAGUUCAGGCUCUAUGUUAAAUCUUUAUCCAAACUGUACUGAAACCAGCAGCAGCAAGCAAAUCAUAGUUCAGUCCUCUUACACUGGACAGGCAGAAGUCCAAAACAUGAGUGGUGGAUCAGCUGAAGCUGAGACGGUCGAUUCAAGCAAAAGCAGCAACAGUGUAGUGAAUGAAGUCCAAAAUGCGGAUGGGACUUACAAACAGGAUGUCUGUUCAGGUUGUGGAGCAGUGAUGGAGGACCUGCCCUACUUGGAGAUCUUGUGUGUGUCAGAUCCUCAUGAGGGUCUUGCUGCAGAUGGAGGAGCCAAAGAGGAAGAAGAGGGCAGUGAAUUAAAGAACCCCAAGAGCUGUGAGAAACAGGGCUCUUUAAUCACCCUUGCCUGGAGCAAACCACCAGAGGAUGACACAGACAGCGCAGAAGAGCCUGCAGAUGGGUGUACAGGACAGAUUCAGGAUGGUCCGAGAAGCCUGAACACGCAAGCACGGCCCACACAAUGUGAUGUGUCAAAUCAAGAGAGAGAUGGAGAAGAGCUAAAACCCACUGUGUUGCAGUCUGGUACUCCAGAUCACUGUGACACACAGUCUGCAAACCAGCAGUGCAGCACAGUACAAGAGGUACCUCAUAAGAGUGCAGACCAUAAUUCACUGUGA